rnacentral:rRNA from 1 species
CAGUCGCCGCGGGAAUACGAAGGGGGCUAGCGUUGCUCGGAAUGACUGGGCGUAAAGGGCGCGCAGGCGGUUUGCACAGUCAGAUGUGAAAUUCCUGGGCUUAACCUGGGGGCUGCAUUUGAUACGUGUGGACUAGAGUUUGGAAGAGGGUCGUGGAAUUCCCAGUGUAGAGGUGAAAUUCGUAGAUAUUGGGAAGAACACCGGUGGCGAAGGCGGCGACCUGGUCCUUGACUGACGCUGAGGCGCGAAAGCGUGGGGAGCAAACAGGAUUAGAUACCCGCGUAGUCCCUGUCUCUUAUAC